CAGCAGCCGCGGGAAUACGGAGGGUGCAAGCGUUAUCCGGAUUUAUUGGGUUUAAAGGGUCCGUAGGCGGAUCUGUAAGUCAGUGGUGAAAUCUCACAGCUUAACUGUGAAACUGCCACUGAUACUGCAGGUCUUGAGUAAAUUUGAAGUGGCUGGAAUAAGUAGUGUAGCGGUGAAAUGCAUAGAUAUUACUUAGAACACCAAUUGCGAAGGCAGGUCACUAAGAUUUAACUGACGCUGAUGGACGAUAGCGUGGGGAGCGAACAGGAUUAGAUACCCCCGUAGUCCCUGUCUCUUAUAC
rnacentral:rRNA from 1 species